rnacentral:rRNA from 1 species
AGAAUCAACGCUGGCGGCGUGCCUAACACAUGCAAGUCGAACGCGAAAGUGGAGCAAUCCAUGAGUAGAGUGGCAAACGGGUGAGUAACGCGUGGGCGACCUACCUUCACGUGGGGGAUAACCUUCCGAAAGGAGGGCUAAUACCGCAUAACAUCCUGCUUUUAGAUAAGCGGGUAUCAAAGCCGGGGAUCGCAAGACCUGGCGCGAGAAGAGGGGCCCGCGUCCGAUUAGCUAGUUGGCGAGGUAACGGCUCACCAAGGCUCCGAUCGGUA